rnacentral:rRNA from 1 species
GAUGAACGCUGGCGGUAUGCUUAACACAUGCAAGUCGAACGGACUCUUCGGAGUUAGUGGCGGACGGGUGAGUAACGCGUGAGAAUCUGGCUUUGGGUUCGGGACAACCACUGGAAACGGUGGCUAAUACCGGAUGUGCCGAGAGGUAAAAGAGAAAUUGCCUGAAGAUGAGCUCGCGUCUGAUUAGCUAGUUGGUGAGGUAAAGGCUCACCAAGGCAGCGAUCAGUAGCUGGUCUGAGAGGAUGACCAGCCACACUGGGACUGAGACACGGCCCAGACUCCUACGGGAGGCAGCAGUGGGGAAUUUUCCGCAAUGGGCGAAAGCCUGACGGAGCAAUACCGCGUGAGGGAAGAAGGCUCUUGGGUUGUAAACCUCUUUUCUUAGGGAAGAACAAAAUGACGGUACCGAAGGAAUCAGCAUCGGCUAACUCCGUG